AUAUUUGGGAACACUGGCCUUCAGUCUGCUGGUCAAACUGGGAGAAGUCCAGUGAGGCUAAAGGAUCAAAAAGAAAUGAUCCAAAAGUGUAAUAGAAAAUACAUAUCUGAUUCCUUAACAUUCAGAAAAAAGACAUUUUCAGCAUUUUGGGGCUCUGACUCAAAAUUAGUUUUGCCUGAGUUUAAGAGCUCAUAGCAUCUUUAACUAUAAAUAUGCUACGAGCUCAGCUUCGACAUUGUGAAGCUGAGCCGUGAAACAGAAGAACAGCAGCUCCAGCUCUGAUCCUGACUGAUCUUUCCUCACAAAAUUCCCUGGUCUUUAAUGCACUUCUCCUCCAACAGCGGUUUCUCAUCAGCUCUCUCUCAUUAGAAAACACUGUAUGAAAACGUUAGCUAUGCUAACAAUCAAUGGUUACUUCGGGCUAAUUUAGCUACAUAGGAAAUAUUUCUCUGUUGUUUAGAAGCUAGUUUCUGGCUGCAAAGUCAAGUAAUUCUGCUCUUUAAAGAGCAGAAGAGUACAAUACAAACUGGAAUGAAUCCAGUUUGUAUUGUAUAACGGUUGACAAGCCCGCGCAGCACAUGGGAACUCUGAUCGCUCUACCGCCACAUACAAGAUGGCAGCGACGUAACGUCAAUGAGGCGUCUACGUAUUUAUGUCUAUCAAUGGCCCUACAAAGCAGCAAAGAUUGGAUUUUCAACUAGAACUCUUGUUGCUGUCUGCUGUUGCUGAAACCUUUUAUCCUUUGCUCCGUGUGUGUCGGGUUAAUGACGCGCUGCUGUGAACUGAACUGGUGAAUCUGUGGGAGAAAGGCCUGUAGGUCUACAUAAUUUGAAUAAUCUGCGUUAUGUAAUAUUAACGUGUUAAAAUUGUCAGAUUUAACACGUUAAUGCAUGUUAAUGCAUGCAUAUCUGCUUCUUGAAAGUAACACUCCAGGUAUGUUUUUGAUGAGAUUCUAACAUUAUAACAUGAUCUAAAGCUCAAAAAAGUCAAUUUUACAUAAUACUGCCCCCUUAAAACAUGUUUUUUGGUCUGUGAUAUUGUAAUGUUCCAAAACAUUACAUUUAUUUUUUCUUUACCUAUGCUAUAAUCAUUAAAAUUCUAAAACAUAAAACUUUGAAAUAUUUGCUCUAUAAAAGUUCUGAGAUGACUUGCAAAAAACUUUUCCAGAUGUACUAGUAUUUUGUUUUGCUGUUGACAGAUAUUACAAAUGAUCACUUAAAUCUAUGUGUUCACAGGACGACAAAGCUGCUGUUUUUCAACAAACAGGAGGAAGACAUACUGUGGCGCUGCCAACUGGAUGAUCUGGCAGCUAAUGAUGAACGGUUUCAGGUGGAGUACAUCCUGUCUGAGCCCUCUGCCAGCUGGACCGGCAGGAAGGGUCGGGUGGAUGAGACCCUGCUGAACGACCUUCUUCUCAGGCCACAUGGGUCAAAAUGCUACGUUUGUGUGUGUGGGCCUUCUGCCUUCACAGAGCAAACAUUAGGAUUGUUGAAGCAACUUUGCUUCAGUGAGGAGGAAUGCCACGCUUUCAAGGGCUGAUGAGCCCUUCUACCUGAAGAGACGGAGGACAAAAAAACCUACUUUCAUUUAAAGCUGUGUUAAUAAAAAGAAAGCAUAUAUUUCUAUGCACCAAAGACACAUGUCUGCAGCCACCACUCUAUGCCUGGCCAGUGGAACCUGGACACUUCUCAGGGAUGGACUGAAGGUUCCUGCAACAUAUGAAGAAAGAACAAUUCCUCCACAGCUGCUGAUUUUUAACCAGAUCUUCAAGUUACUUUUUGUGUUUACUGGGGUUAGAUGUUUUUUAUGUCAAGUUUAUUUUUGAAAAAGUGAGUAUGCACCAGUGAGAAGCUGCUCAGUUUGUGCAUUAUAAUAAAGUUAUAAAACAGUUUGAUCACCAUAAAAGUAAAACUUUGUGUCAGCUACAUUUGACACAAAUUAUUUAUCAAAGUCAAAUAAAAUGGAGCUCUGGGUGACAUCCUCCUUGAAUAAUCAAAGCUUUAGGUGACACACCAUCAGCUAGAACUUUUAAUCUAAUAGUUUCAGAAUAAUUUGAAAGGUUUUAUACUUAUUCCAAUAUUUUUAUACUUAUUCCAAUAUUAUUGGAAUAAUAAUAUUCCAAUAAUAUGCUCAUGCAUGGCCGACCAUGCAUGAGCAUGGUCGGCCAUGUCCACCAUCAUUUAAAACUGGACCCUCCAACUAUCAAAUGAUGGGCAAGGGGAGUUACAGCAAAGUGGGAAAAACUGCUUGAUCUCAGCAAUGAAUGUUCAAAUUGUACUGUUUGUAAU